UCAGGAUGAACGCUAGCGGGAGGCUUAACACAUGCAAGUCGAGGGGCAUCACGGGUAGCAAUACCUGGUGGCGACCGGCAGACGGGUGAGUAACGCGUAUGUAACCUACCCUGUACAGGGGGAUAACCCGGAGAAAUUCGGACUAAUAUCCCAUAAUGAUAGUCUGGGGGCAUCUUCGGAUAUUUAAAGUUCCGGCGGUACAGGAUGGGCAUGCGUAACAUUAGCUAGUUGGUAAGGUAACGGCUUACCAAGGCUUUGAUGUUUAGGGGUCCUGAGAGGGUGGUCCCCCACACUGGUACUGAGACACGGACCAGACUCCUACGGGAGGCAGCAGUGAGGAAUAUUGGUCAAUGGGCGCAAGCCUGAACCAGCCAUCCCGCGUGCAAGGGAAGACGGCCCUAUGGGUUGUAAACUGCUUUUCCAGGGAGAGAAACUUGCGUACGCGUUGCGCAAUUGACGGUACCCUGGGAAUAAGCAUCGGCUAACUCCGUGCCAGCCGCAGC
rnacentral:rRNA from 1 species